rnacentral:rRNA from 1 species
CGGGACGGGUGAGUAAUGCUUGGGAAGUCUGGCUUAUGGAGGGGGAUAACUACGGGAAACUGUAGCUAAUACCGCGUAAUAUCGAAGAUUAAAGUGUGGACCUUCGGGCCACAUGCCAUAGGAUGAGCCCAAGUGGGAUUAGGUAGUUGGUGAGGUAAAGGCUCACCAAGCCGACGAUCUCUAGCUGGUCUGAGAGGAUGACCAGCCACACUGGGACUGAGACACGGCCCAG